rnacentral:rRNA from 1 species
GUGCCAGCAGCCGCGGUAAUACGUAGGAUGCAAGCGUUGUCCGGAAUUACUGGGCGUAAAGAGCGCGCAGGCGGCGCUUUAAGUUAGGCGUGAAAUCUCCCGGCUUAACUGGGAUAGGUCGUCUAAGACUGGAGUGCUUGAGGGCAGAAGAGGAAAGUGGAAUUCCCGGUGUAGUGGUGAAAUGCGUAGAUAUCGGGAGGAACACCAGUGGCGAAGGCGGCUUUCUGGUCUGCCCCUGACGCUGAGGCGCGAAGGCUGGGGGAGCGAACGGGAUUAGAUACCCCGGUAGUCCUAGCAGUAAACUAUGGAUACUAGGUGUUCGUGGCAUUGACCCCACGAGUGCCGAAGCUAACGCGUUAAGUAUCCCGCCUGGGGAGUACGGCCGCAAGGCUAAA